UAGUCCACGCCGUAAACGAUGUUCACUCGCUGUAUGCGAUAUACAGUAUGCGGCUAAGCGAAAGCAUUAAGUGAACCACCUGGGGAGUACGAUCGCAAGGUUGAAACUCAAAGGAAUUGACGGGGGCCCGCACAAGCGGAGGAACAUGUGGUUUAAUUCGAUGAUACGCGAGGAACCUUACCUGGGCUUAAAUGUAGGUUGCAUGUAGUGGAAACACUCUUCCCUUCGGGGCUACCUACAAGGUGCUGCAUGGUUGUCGUCAGCUCGUGCCGUGAGGUGUCGGGUUAAGUCCCAUAACGAGCGCAACCCCUAUCGUUAGUUGCCAGCGGGUAAUGCCGGGGACUCUAGCGAGACUGCCACCGUAAGGUGAGAGGAAGGUGGGGAUGACGUCGAAAUCAGCACGGCCCUUAUGUCCAGGGCUACACACGUGUUACAAUGGCCAGUACAGAGGGCUGCUACUCCGCAAGGAGAUGCUAAUCUCGAAAGCUGGUCUCAGUUCGGAUC
rnacentral:rRNA from 1 species